rnacentral:rRNA from 1 species
UACAGAGGUGGCAAGCGUUGUUCGGAAUUACUGGGCGUAAAGGGCGCGUAGGCGGCCUCGCAAGUCCCGUGUGAAAUCCCUCGGCUCAACUGAGGAAUGGCACGGGAAACUGCGGGGCUUGAGUUCGGGAGAGGGAAGCGGAAUUCCGGGUGUAGCGGUGAAAUGCGUAGAUAUCCGGAGGAACACCGGUGGCGAAGGCGGCUCUCUGGGGACGUGACUGAC